rnacentral:rRNA from 1 species
CUUUCGGGAUCUUGAGAGCGGCGUACGGGUGCGGAACACGUGUGCAACCUGCCUUUAUCUGGGGGAUAGCCUUUCGAAAGGAAGAUUAAUACCCCAUAAUAUACUGAAUGGCAUCAUUCGGUAUUGAAAACUCCGGUGGAUAGAGAUGGGCACGCGCAAGAUUAGAUAGUUGGUGAGGUAACGGCUCACCAAGUCUACGAUCUUUAGGGGGCCUGAGAGGGUGAUCCCCCACACUGGUACUGAGACACGGACCAGACUCCUACGGGAGGCAGCAGUGAGGAAUAUUGGACAAUGGGUGAGAGCCUGAUCCAGCCAUCCCGCGUGAAGGACGACGGCCCUAUGGGUUGUAAACUUCUUUUGUAUAGGGAUAAACCUACCCUCGUGAGGGUAGCUGAAGGUACUAUACGAAUAAGCACCGGCUAACUCCGUGCCAGCAGCCGCGGUAAUACGGAGGGUGCAAGCGUUAUCCGGAUUUAUUGGGUUUAAAGGGUCCGUAGGCGGAUCUGUAAGUCAGUGGUGAAAUCUCACAGCUUAACUGUGAAACUGCCAUUGAUACUGCAGGUCUUGAGUGUUGUUGAAGUAGCUGGAAUAAGUAGUGUAGCGGUGAAAUGCAUAGAUAUUACUUAGAACACCAAUUGCGAAGGCAGGUUACUAAGCAACAACUGACGCUGAUGGACGAAAGCGUGGGGAGCGAACAGGAUUAGAUACCCUGGUAGUCCACGCCGUAAACGAUGCUAACUCGUUUUUGGAAUGUAAGUUUCAGAGACUAAGCGAAAGUGAUAAGUUAGCCACCUGGGGAGUACGAACGCAAGUUUGAAACUCAAAGGAAUUGACGGGGGCCCGCACAAGCGGUGGAUUAUGUGGUUUAAUUCGAUGAUACGCGAGGAACCUUACCAAGGCUUAAAUGGGAAAUGACAGGUUUAGAAAUAGACUUUUCUUCGGACAUUUUUCAAGGUGCUGCAUGGUUGUCGUCAGCUCGUGCCGUGAGGUGUUAGGUUAAGUCCUGCAACGAGCGCAACCCCUGUCACUAGUUGCCAUCAUUAAGUUGGGGACUCUAGUGAGACUGCCUACGCAAGUAGAGAGGAAGGUGGGGAUGACGUCAAAUCAUCACGGCCCUUACGCCUUGGGCCACACACGUAAUACAAUGGCCGGUACAGAGGGCAGCUACACUGCGAAGUGAUGCAAAUCUCGAAAGCCGGUCUCAGUUCGGAUUGGAGUCUGCAACUCGACUCUAUGAAGCUGGAAUCGCUAGUAAUCGCGCAUCAGCCAUGGCGCGGUGAAUACGUUCCCGGGCCUUGUACACACCGCCCGUCAAGCCAUGGAAGUCUGGGGUACCUGAAGUCGGGACC